UCAAUGAUUUACCAUGUUCACUUCCUCAAAGAUGCUCACUUGUAUUACUUCAAUGUCAUGUUUUGUAGUAUCUGCCUUUGCUAAAUGUUGAUCGUUUUUCUUACCGGCUUGCUUCCGCAAAUAACUUUACCAGAACUAUACAAGUCGUAUGGCAAUCUGAGGUUUUCUCCAUGCUUUCUGGGUUUUCUCAAUAGCCGGUGAUGGUUUUCUCCAUGCUUCUUGGUUUUUUUAAUGACUGGUGAUGGUUUUCUUCAUGCUUCUUGGUUUUCUCAAUGACUGGUGAC